rnacentral:rRNA from 1 species
UAUGGGUUAGUGGCGGACGGGUGAGUAACGCGUGGGUAACCUGCCUUACACAGGGGGAUAACACUUAGAAAUAGGUGCUAAUACCGCAUAAGCGCACAGGGCCGCAUGGCCCGGNGUGAAAAACUCCGGUGGUGUAAGAUGGACCCGCGUCUGAUUAGCUUGUUGGCGGGGUAGGGGCCCACCAAGGCGACGAUCAGUAGCCGGCCUGAGAGGGUGGACGGCCACAUUGGGACUGAGACACGGCCCAAACUCCUACGGAAGGCAGCAG